rnacentral:misc_RNA from 1 species
ACAUUGGACCUUCAUGAGGAACCUAAGUCAUCCAUGAAACCACAAGCAGCCAAUUAGAUAGGUAAACUUAUUGGAAAAGGAACAUAAAAGAAACCACACCAGUUAGUCAUUUCUAGCACAAUGAAAAAACAGUACCAAAUCAGUUAACAGAUGCUGGUUUAAUUAUAUCAUUCACUAAGCAGCACCACUGGCAUUAGUUCCAUCUUUAGAUUAUUUAGUUCUCUCUCCUUAGGCAAAAUUUCCCAUGACAUGACUUUGUUUUGUAUAUUUAUCUUCAGCACCAAUAAAUGAUGCACAACAUAACCAAAAAUUCAAUACGUAAAAGAGGAACAAAGCAAUUUGUAUUUAAUUCAACUCAAUGGAAAUACAUAUGCUGGUUUUACUUCUGAUGGGAAGUAUAAGGUUGUCGGCUCCCCAAAACCAGAUAAAGUUGUCCAGAUGUUUAUGUAAAUGACUAUCAGCAGAAAUUGUACCAAGUGCAAAAUUUUUCGGCUUUUAAAUUUCUCAUAGUUACCAAAUCAUGUAAAUUGAUUUUAUACACAUAUGAUAAGAAAAAAAUCAAUUUGAAUAAUAAAUUUAGUAAGCAAUUAGUAGCAGCUCAAGAAAAUGUUAAGAAAAUAAACUGCUAAAGUAACAUUAUAACUGUACCUCUUGUAUUCGGUCCAAGGAG